rnacentral:rRNA from 1 species
AUGUCAGGCGGGCAGGAGAUACUGCAUCGCUAGAGACCGGGAGGCGUAAGGAGUACGCAGAGGGUAUCGGUAAAAUGAGUUGAUCCUUUGUGGACUAACAAUAGCGAAGGCACCUUACGAGAACGGAUCUGACAGUCAGGGAUGAAGGCCAGGGUCGCGAAAAGGAUUAGAUACCCUUGUAGUCCUGGCAGUAAACGCUGCGCACUAAACAUCGGUACCUCCUCGAGAGGCAUCGGUGCUGCAGGGAAGCCGAAGAGUGCGCUACCUGGGAAGUAUAGUCGCAAGGCCGAAACUUAAAGGAAUUGGCGGGGGGGCACUACAACGGGUGACGCGUGCGGUUCAAUUAGAUUAUACACCGUGAACCUCACCAGGAGCGACAGCAGAAUGAAGGUCAGUCUGAAGGGCUUACCUGACACGCUGAGAGGAGUUGCAUGGCCGACGUCAGCCUGUGCCGUGAGGUGACUUGUUAAAUCAAGUAACAGGCGAGACCCACGUCUAUACUUACUCUUAUGGAGCACAGUAUAGAGACUGCCGUGGUAACACGGAGGAGGGUGUGGGCUACGUUAGGUGAGUACUGCCCGAAUCUCCUGGGCUACACGCGCGCGGCAAUGCUGCAUUCAAAGGGAUGCGACUCCGAAAGGAGAAGCUAAUCUUUAAUAUCUAGCUUAGUUCAGAUUGAGGUUUGCAACCCA